GACGAACGCUGGCGGCGUGCUUAACACAUGCAAGUCGAACGGUGAAGCGCCUUCCUUUUUGGUGGGUGUGGAUGAGUGGCGAACGGGUGAGUAACACGUGAGUAACCUGCCCCCUUCUUCUGGAUAACCGCAUGAAAGUGUGGCUAAUACGGGAUAUUCUGGGUCUGUCGCAUGAUGGGUCUGGGAAAGAUAUUGUUUCGGUGGGGGAUGGGCUCGCGGCUUAUCAGCUUGUUGGUGGGGUGAUGGCCUACCAAGGCGGUGACGGGUAGCCGGCCUGAGAGGGUGGACGGUCACACUGGGACUGAGACGCGGCGCAGACUCCUACGGGAGGCAGCAGUGGGGAAUAUUGCACGAUGGGCGGAAGGCUGAUGCAGCGACGCCGCGUGAGGGAUGGAGGCCUGCGGGUUGUGAACCUCUUUCGCCAGUGAAGCAGGCCUGCCUCGUUUGUGGGUGGGUUGACGGUAGCUGGAUAAGAAGCGCCGGCUAACUACGUG
rnacentral:rRNA from 1 species